rnacentral:rRNA from 1 species
CCCUUAGAUGUCCGGGGCCGCACGCGCGCUACACUGAAGGAAUCAGCGUGGCUUUCUCCCUGACCCGAAAGGGUUGGGAAACCCGUUGAAUCUCCUUCGUGAUAGGGAUUGGGGCUUGAAAUUGUUCCCCAUGAACGAGGAAUUCCCAGUAAGCGCGAGUCAUAAGCUCGCGUUGAUUACGUCCCUGCCCUUUGUACACACCGCCCGUCGCUACUACCGAUUGAACGGUUUAGUGAGGGCCUCGGAUUGGUCUCGGCCCGCUCUUUACCGGGCGGCGCCGUUGGUCGAGAAGACGCUCGAACUUGAUCGUUUAUAGGAAGUAAAAGUCGUAACA